rnacentral:rRNA from 1 species
UACGAAGGGGGCUAGCGUUGCUCGGAAUCACUGGGCGUAAAGCGCACGUAGGUGGGCCGCUAAGUCGGGGGUGAAAUCCUGGAGCUCAACUCCAGAACUGCCUUCGAUACUGGCGAUCUUUGAGUCCGGGAGAGGUGGGUGGAACUGCGAGUGUAGAGGUGAAAUUCGUAGAUAUUCGCAAGAACACCAGUGGCGAAGGCGGCUCACUGGCCCGGUACUGACACUGAGGUGCGAAAGCGUGGGGAGCAAACAGG